UACGAAGGGGGCUAGCGUUGUUCGGAAUUACUGGGUGUAAAGCGCACGUAGGCGGAUAUUUAAGUCAGGGGUGAAAUCCCGGGGCUCAACCCCGGAACUGCCUUUGAUACUGGGUAUCUAGAGUCCAGAAGAGGUGAGUGGAAUUCCGAGUGUAGAGGUGAAAUUCGUAGAUAUUCGGAGGAACACCAGUGGCGAAGGCGGCUCACUGGUCUGGUACUGACGCUGAGGUGCGAAAGCGUGGGGAGCAAACAGG
rnacentral:rRNA from 1 species